AUCUGGAUUUGAUAAUAUUUCAUUCUUUUACAGAUCUGUACAAACUAGUCGUGCUAAACUUGGAAGGGUCUGUUGUUACUGCGUCAUGUUUGGAUUACCUCACAGCUCUCACUUCGUUGAAGUCGCUAAAUGUCAAUAGAUCUCACCUUUUAGAUGAUGGAUGUGAGAAGUUUUUGGCCAAUGAAGUACAAGAUUAAAAAGAUACCAACACAUCCCAUAAGGUUUGCUGUCAAUUUUAACAACAAUUUCCUAAAGGACAAGAAUGUGAUCAGAUUCCAGGGGGGAGGAGUAUCUUCAGCAGACUGAUUAUGCAAGGAAACUGUACUGCAUAUAAACACCAGAGGCAGAAGCAUCUCCAGCUUCCAAAGACCUUUACUUGCUUCAAAUUCAUACCCUUAGGUCUUGUAAUUAGAGAAGUUGUUGUAUUGUCUUUUUAUUCACUAUGUAAGAUUGUUUCUCGUGUUUUGUAGCUGUAGCAUGUAUAGACUUUUUGUAAUUGAUAGGAGUGUAGAUAGUUAUCAUCUAUUUGUUUUGUAUUGAACACUAUUGGAUGAAUAGAGUGCAUCGUUCACAAAAAAAAGACAGAUAUUCAACCAAGCAUAACAUACAUAAAAUAAAAGCGAGAAACCCCAAUAUUCAAUUAUAACUAAAGAGAAACAUUAUAUAUUCUUAUUGUCAAAUUGACCGUAGUGUACUUUAAGGAUUUCAAAGGAUUCUU